UUGACAGGUGCGUCAGGCCGGCAGCGGGGCAGUUCGCUGAGGGGCUUCCUUAGCGCUCGCUUGCUGGUCUACAGUUUUGGCCCCAUUUUUUGGUUUAUUUUAUUUAUUUACCUCAUAAAAUUCAAGAGACCACUUCAUAUUAUUUUAUUUUUAAAGAUGAAAAUUAACCAAAGUGAUGGUGGUGGUUUGUUGUUGUUUUUAAAAAAACCUACCUGAGUUCUCGUUUGCCGGUCUAAAAUUUUGGCUCCUUUUUUUUUUUUUUUGCUUUGUUUUAUUUAUUUACCUCAUAAAAUUCAAGAGACCACUUGAUUUUAUUUUAUUUUUAAAGAUAAAAAUUAACCAAAGUGGUGGUGGUGUGUUUUGUUUUUUUAAAAAAUACCUCAAACCUACCUGAGCUCUUGCUUGCCGGUAUCAAAUUUUGGCUCCUUUUUUUGCUUUGUUUUAUUUAUUUACCUCAUAAAAUUCAAGAGACCACUUGAUUUUAUUUUAUUUUUAAAGAUAAAAAUUAACCAAAGUGGUGGUGGUGUGUUUUGUUUUGUUUUGUUUUUAAAAUAAAUACCUCAAAACUACCUGAGCUCUCGCUUGCCGGUAUCAAAUUUUGGCUCCUUUUUUUGCUUUGUUUUAUUUCUCUCAUAAAAUUCAAUUUAAUUUUUAUCUUUUUUAUUAAAAAAAGGUUUGGUUUUUUUAAAAAAACAACCACCUUGAAGCAGUUUGCAAAAAAAAGGACAAAACAAUAAACUCAGUUAUUUUUCUUUUUACAACGGUGCUUUAAAAACACACGGGAAGUUAAAACAGAUUUUUAAAAAGCCCACCCCAGCAUUUCUAAGCACCUGGCUAGUUUUGCCCAAAUGAAAAUGUUUUUAAGUGGGGGCUGAAAGGAAGGCAGUGAAAAGGCACAAAACAACCAAGUUCUCACCUGGAUUGCCUGAUUUACGGAACUAUAAUCAAGGUGUGGCAACUAUGGCAGCGUUUGAAUGAUUUCUGUUUAAACAAUAAAAUGUUUGAAGUAAAAUAAGACAAAGGGUUUAGUGAAGAAGACGUUAAGUUUAUUAUGAACAUAACUGAAUUAUGAAAUUUAUUUUAGUACAAGUAGUUUUCUAAAGUAAAUAUACUGGGUAAAUACAUUGGGCGUGGACAGGAAGUCAUGUAUAAAGAUAUGAAAUGUAGAAUAAUAGAAUGGAAGAUGAUAUUGUAGUUAACUGGAAAAUUAUUAGUGUUUUUUCCUUUGAUGGCCACUGGUCCCAUCACCUGGCAAAUAGAAGGGGAAGAAAUGGAGGCAGUGAGAGUUUUAAUUUCUUGGGUUCCAUGAUCACUGCAGAUGGUGACAGCAGCCACGAAAUUAAAAGACGCCUGCUUCUUGGGAGAAAAGCAAUGACAAACCCAGACAACAUCUUAAAAAGCAGAGACAUCACCUUGCCAACAAAGGUCCGUAUAGUUCAAGCUAUGGUUUUCCCAGUAGUGAUGUAUGGAAGUGAGAGCUGGACCAUCAAGAAGGCUGAUCGCCGAAGAAUGGAUGCUUUUGAAUUCUGGUGCUGGAGGAGACUCUUGAGAGUCCCAUGGACUGCAAGAAGAUCAAACCGAUCCAUUCUGAAGGAAAUCAGCCCUGAGUGCUCCCUGGAAGGACAGAUCCUGAAGCUGAGGUGCCAAUACUUUGGCCACCUCAUGAGAAGAGAAGACUCCCUGGAAAAGACCCUGAUGUUGGGAAAGAUGGAGGGCACAAGGAGAAGGGGACAACAGAGGACAAGAUGGUGGGACAGUGUUCUCGAAGCUACCAACAUGUUUGACCAAACUGCGGGAGGCAAUGGAAGACAGGAGUGCCUGGCAUGCUCUGGUCCAGGGGGUCACGAAGAGGCGGACAUGACUAAACGACCCAACAACAACUGUUUCUAUCAACUUGUAAUGCAAAUUCUAUGUUAUGUUUCUUUUUUAAUUUAUCAAAGUGGUGGGCGGGGAGAAGAACUUGGCCCGGUAGCUGAUGGGCAACCAGUGCAGACCUCUGUCGUAUGCUGGCAAGGCCUCCUGUCAGCAAUUGUGCUGCAGCAUCCUGCACUAACUGCAUCCUCUGGAUCAAGCAGAGUGAUGCAUCUUCAUAUUCUCGUAAACUCCAGUGCUUCAGUCUGUCAGAGUCUGCCCUGAUUACUGUAUUAUGUAUUUUAGAUGCAAAAAUCCCACUUGCAUUCAUUUGAUGGAAAGGGCUGGGACUGUGAUUUGUAAUGUUUUUACUGUAAAUAUUUAUAUAUUUUAAUAGAUAUAUUUUAAUAUACACACAUACACAUUCAUUAUUGUUUUAUCUAAAUGAUUAUCUAAAUGUCUCUAUUUUAUCUGUAAGCUGCCUUGAGUCCCUGGGGAAAAGGCAUAAUAAUAACACCACCAACAACAACAAUUUGAGCUUUUCUCCUAGGUUAGUGUGCACAGGGCACUGAUUCAUAAGGAUUUAUUUUAGCUGGGCAGUUGCACAAAGCACAGCAAUCUGCUUUCAUUUUUAAAACGAUUUUCAUUUAUUUAUUUGCUAUUUUACUUUUAAAGGUAAAAUAGGAACAAAAGGCAUACAAUUAGGAUAAGUACUAGGUACUCAGUAAAGAAUAAAAAUAUGCCCCCUACUCUCAUUCGCCAAUGUUCUGUCCCACCAGCAAAAUCACUGAGUUAAUUAACAGGAUUUUAAAAUGCUAUAG
rnacentral:lncRNA from 1 species